AUCUAGCCAUGGGCAGGUUGAAGGUUGGGUAACACUAACUGGAGGACCGAACCGACUAAUGUUGAAAAAUUAGCGGAUGACCUGUGGCUGGGGGUGAAAGGCCAAUCAAACCGGGAGAUAGCUGGUUCUCCCCGAAAGCUAUUUAGGUAGCGCCUCGUGAAUUCAUCUCCGGGGGUAGAGCACUGUUUCGGCUAGGGGGCCAUCCCGGCUUACCAACCCGAUGCAAACUGCGAAUACCGGAGAAUGUUAUCACGGGAGACACACGGCGGGUGCUAACGUCCGUCGUGAAGAGGGAAACAACCCAGACCGCCAGCUAAGGUCCCAAAGUCAUGGUUAAGUGGGAAACGAUGUGGGAAGGCCCAGACAGCCAGGAUGUUGGCUUAGAAGCAGCCAUCAUUUAAAGAAAGCGUAAUAGCUCACUGGUCGAGUCGGCCUGCGCG
rnacentral:rRNA from 1 species